CCUACGGGAGGCAGCAGUGGGGAAUAUUGCACAAUGGGCGCAAGCCUGAUGCAGCCAUGCCGCGUGUAUGAAGAAGGCCUUCGGGUUGUAAAGUACUUUCAGCGGGGAGGAAGGGAGUAAGGUUAAUAACCUUAUUCCUUGGCGUUACCCGCAGAAGAAGCACCGGCUAACUCCGUGCCAGCAGCCGCGGUACUACGGAGGGUGCAAGCGUUACUCGGAAUUACUGGGCGUAAAGCGCACGCAGGCGGGCUGUCAAGUCGGAUGUGAAAUCCCCGGGCUCAACCGGGGAACUGCAUUUGAAACUGGCAGGCUGGAGUAUCGGAGAGGGGGGUAGAAUUCCAGGUGUAGCGGUGAAAUGCGUAGAGAGCUGGAGGAAUACCGGGGGCGAAGGCGGACGCCUGGACAAAGACUGACGGUGAGGUGCGAAAGCGUGGGGAGCAAACAGGAUUAGAUACCCCAGUAGUC
rnacentral:rRNA from 1 species